rnacentral:sRNA from 1 species
GCCGGGCGUGGUGGUGCACACCUGUAGUCCCAGCUACUCAGGAGGCUGAGACAGGAGAAUCGCUUGAACCUGGGAGGCGGAGGUUGCAGUGAGCUGAGAUCGCCACUGCACUCCAGCCUGGGUGACAGAGCGAGACUCUGUCUCAA